AGUGAACGCUGGCGGUAGGCCUAACACAUGCAAGUCGAACGGCAGCACAGGAGAGCUUGCUCUCUGGGUGGCGAGUGGCGGACGGGUGAGGAAUACAUCGGAAUCUACUCUGUCGUGGGGGAUAACGUAGGGAAACUUACGCUAAUACCGCAUACGACCUCCGGGUGAAAGCAGGGGACCUUCGGGCCUUGCGCGAUUGAAUGAGCCGAUGUCGGAUCAGCUAGUUGGCGGGGUAAAGGCCCACCAAGGCGACGAUCCGUAGCUGGUCUGAGGGGAUGAUCAGCCACACUGGAACUGAGACACGGUCCAGACUCCUACGGGAGGCAGCAGUGGGGAAUAUUGGACAAUGGGCGCAAGCCUGAUCCAGCCAUACCGCGUGGGUGAAGAAGGCCUUCGGGUUGUAAAGCCCUUUUGUUGGGAAAGAAAUCCAGCUGGCUAAUACCCGGUUGGGAUGACGGUACCCAAAGAAUAAGCACCGGCUAACUUCGUGCCAGCAGCCGCCGUAA
rnacentral:rRNA from 1 species